rnacentral:rRNA from 1 species
GAUGAACGCUAGCGGCAGGCUUAAUACAUGCAAGGCGAGGGGCAGCGCGGGUAGCAAUACCUGGCGGCGACCGGCGCACGGGUGCGUAACACGUAUGCCAACCUACCUUAAACUGGGGAACUAGACCCCUCGAAAGAGGGAUUAAUGCCCCCAUAACACGUGUAGAAGAGGCAUCUUUUUACAUUUAAAGCUCCGGCGGUUUAAGAUGGGCAUGCGCGACAUUAGCUAGUUGGUGAGGUAACGGCUCACCAAGGCUGUGAUGUCUAGGGGUUCUGAGAGGAAAAUCCCCCACACUGGUACUGAGACACGGACCAGACUCCUACGGGAGGCAGCAGUAAGGAAUAUUGGUCAAUGGACGCAAGUCUGAACCAGCCAUGCCGCGUGCAGGAUGACGGCCCUAUGGGUUGUAAACUGCUUUUGUAACGGAAAAAAACCCCCCGACGUGUCGGGGGCUGAUGGUACCGUAAGAAUAAGGAUCGGCUAACUCCGUG